rnacentral:rRNA from 1 species
UGGGGAAUAUUGCACAAUGGGCGCAAGCCUGAUGCAGCCAUGCCGCGUGUGUGAAGAAGGCCUUCGGGUUGUAAAGCACUUUCAGCGGGGAGGAAGGCGUUAAGGUUAAUAACCUUGGCGAUUGACGUUACCCGCAGAAGAAGCACCGGCUAACUCCGUGCCAGCAGCCGCGGUAAUACGGAGGGUGCAAGCGUUAAUCGGAAUUACUGGGCGUAAAGCGCACGCAGGCGGUCUGUCAAGUCGGAUGUGAAAUCCCCGGGCUCAACCUGGGAACUGCAUUCGAAACUGGCAGGCUAGAGGCUUGUAGAGGGGGGUAGAAGUCCAGGUGGAGCGGUGAAAUGCGUAGAGAUCUGGAGGAAUACCGGUGGCGAAGGCGGCCCCCUGGACAAAGACUGACGCUCAGGUGCGAAAGCGUGGGGAGCAAACAGG